AAAGUGGCAAAUUUGUUAUUUUAAAGUUAUUUAAUGACAAAUUCGAGUUUUUAAAAAGUUGCACAUUCUGAAUGCUCUGCAAAAAUUUGAAAUAGAUCCUAAUAAUAAAAGCCUUCCUUCCUUCUAUCCACUAUUAUUUCCCUAAUUUGCACGGGGACGCCAUCAACGGAGCGAUCUUUUUGUUCACUAAGGAGUGGAUUACUAUGGGUGAUUUUUCAAAAGUUUUGGGUUCUAUUCCGGGCAUGCGUGGUUCAAGCUCCGCAUACGGUCCAAUUAGAUGUUCUUGUGGUGUCUCGAACACUAAUUACUAACUCACUGUUAAAAAAAAAUUAAAAAAACUAUCAAAAGUUUUUUUAUUAGUAGAUUUACAAUUCAUGGUAACCAUGUUUUCCUUUCUUUUAUGGUAAUUAUUGUCAUGUCAUUGUUCUGAACCUAUUUUAAAGUUUAUGUUCUAUUGUUACUCCGGCCGA